rnacentral:rRNA from 1 species
GUUAGGAAUAUUGGACAAUGGGCGCAAGCCUGAUCCAGCCAUGCCGCGUGAGUGAUGAAGGCCUUCGGGUUGUAAAGCUCUUUAGCCGAUGAUUAUAAUGACUGUAGUCGGAAAAUAAGCCCCGGCUAACUUCGUGCCAGCAGCCGCGGUAAUCCGAAGGGGGCGAGCGUUAUUCGGAAUCACUGGGCGUAAAGCGUGCGUAGGCGGCGUGGCAAGUUGGGAGUGAAAGCCCAGGGCUCAACCCUGGAAGUGCUCUCAAAACUGCAGGGCUCGAAUUCGGGAGAGGAUAGCGGAAUUGUCAGUGUAUCAGUGAAAUGCGUAUAUAUUGACAGGAACACCAGUGGCGUAAGCGGCUAUCUGGACCGAUAUUGACGCUGUGGCACGAAAGCGUGUGGAUCAAACAGGAUUAGAAACCCGGGUAGUCC